rnacentral:rRNA from 1 species
AUUGAACGCUGGCGGCAGGCUUAACACAUGCAAGUCGAGCGAGCGGCGGACGGGUGAGUAAUGUCUGGGAAACUGCCUGAUGGAGGGGGAUAAAUACUGGAAACGGUAGCUAAUACCGCAUACCAUCAGAUGUGCCCAGAUGGGAUUAGUUGGUAGGUGGGGUAAUGGCUCACCUAGGCGACGAUCCCUCGCUGGUCUGAGAGGAUGACCAGCCCGACUGAAACUGAGACACGGUCCAGACUCCUACGUGAGUCAGCGUUGGGGAAUAUUGCACAAUGGGCGCAAUCCUGAUGCAGCCAUGCCGCGUGUGUGAAGAAGGCCUUCGGGUUGUAAAGCACUUUCAGCGAGGAGGCGUUACUCGCAGAAGAAGCACCGGCUAACUCCGUGCCAGCAGCCGCGGUAAUUC